AUUGAACGCUGGCGGCAUGCCUUACACAUGCAAGUCGAACGGCAGCACGGGCUUCGGCCUGGUGGCGAGUGGCGAACGGGUGAGUAAUACAUCGGAACGUGCCCUGUUGUGGGGGGUAACCAGUCGAAAGAUUGGCUAAUACCGCAUACGACCUGAGGGUGAAAGCGGGGGACCGCAAGGCCUCGCGCAGCAGGAGCGGCCGAUGUCUGAUUAGCUAGUUGGUGGGGUAAAGGCCCACCAAGGCGACGAUCAGUAGCUGGGCUGAGAGGACGAUCAGCCGCACGGGGACUGAGACACGGCCCAGCCUCCUACGGGAGGCAGCAGUGGGGAAUUUUGGACAAUGGGGGCAACCGUGAUCCAGCAAUGCCGCGUGUGUGAAGAAGGCCUUCGGGUUGUAAAGCACUUUUGUCCGGAAAGAAAACCUCUGCCCUAAUACGGCGGGGGGAUGACGGUACCGGAAGAAUAAGCACCGGCUAACUACGUGCCAGCAGCCGCCGUAA
rnacentral:rRNA from 1 species